AAUUAGAAAGCGAAGAUUGCAUUUAGUUUCGGCCUAAACUUUGGUUAGUACCUCUAAUUU
rnacentral:tRNA from 1 species